rnacentral:rRNA from 1 species
AGUGAACGCUGGCGGUAGGCCUAACACAUGCAAGUCGAACGGCAGCACAGGAGAGCUUGCUCUCUGGGUGGCGAGUGGCGGACGGGUGAGGAAUACAUCGGAAUCUACCUUUUCGUGGGGGAUAACGUAGGGAAACUUACGCUAAUACCGCAUACGACCUACGGGUGAAAGUGGGGGACCGCAAGGCCCCACGCGAUUAGAUGAUCCGAUGUCCGAUUAGCUAGUUGGCGGGGUAAUGGCCCACCAAGGCGACGAUCGGUAGCUGGUCUGAGAGGAUGAUCAGCCACACUGGAACUGAGACACGGUCCAGACUCCUACGGGAGGCAGCAGUGGGGAAUAUUGGACAAUGGGCGCAAGCCUGAUCCAGCCAUACCGCGUGGGUGAAGAAGGCCUUCGGGUUGUAAAGCCCUUUUGUUGGGAAAGAAAUCCUGUCGAUUAAUACUCGGUGGGGAUGACGGUACCCAAAGAAUAAGCACCGGCUAACUUCGUGCCAGCCGCCGCAGUAACAC